rnacentral:rRNA from 1 species
UAGGGAAUCUUCCGCAAUGGACGAAANAGUCUGACGGAGCAACGCCGCGUGNGUGAAGAAGGAUUUCGGUUCGUAAAGCUCUGUUGUUAGGGAAGAAAGGUUGUGUAGUAACUAUACACAAAACAGACGGUACCUAACCAGAAAGCCACGCGGGUAACUACGUGCCAGCAGCCGCGGUAAUACGUAGGUGGCAAGCGUUGUCCGGAAUAAUUUGGGCGUAAAGCGCGCGCAGNNUGUGGUUUAGAAAGUCUGAUGUGAAAGCCCGUACGNGCCCCUCAACCGUGGAAGGUCAUUUGGAAACUGAUAAACUUGAGUGCCGGGAGAGAAAAGUGGAAUUCCUAGUGUAUGGCGGUGAAAUGCGUAGAGAUUAGGAGGAACACCCAAGGGCUGGCGAAGGCGGCUUUUUGGCCUGCAACUGAC